CACCUCCCACCAUCCCCUCACGCGCGGUUCUAGCUCGCGCCGCCUCCCCCUCUCUCUCGCCACCGCCGCUGCCGCUCUGGCCUCCCCUCCCGCGCCGCUCUCGCCUCCCUCUCGUGCUCGCCGCCGACGCCGCUCUCGCCUCCCCCUUGCUCUCACAGCCGCCACCGCUCCGCCCUCCUCCACGCUCCACGCUCGCCCACCCCCACGCUUUCCAACCCUGCUAACGUCCCCUACCUCCCCCUCUACUUCACCCGGUCACGGGCCCGCCCUCAUCGUUGGAACUCCGAGCGCGUCGGGCGACUCCGGUCUUCCGCGCGCUCUGCGGCCUCCGAUCUCCGGGCGCCUCCGGCCUCCCCUGUCCCCUCUCCGCCGCGCCGAUCCGUGCCCUUACCCGCGCUUGCUCGCGACCCGCCUCUCGGCCUCGUCGUGGCCGCAGUCCACGCCCCAAGCAACUCCACAAUAGAGCCCUCGAUCUCACUCGGCCGCAGUUACGCCCCCACCGCCGCCGGCCGCGGGUACCCCCCCCCCCCCAACCCGCCAACGCCGAGGCAGCCUCCCCCGCGUCCCGACCCGGCCCCGGCAUCGCAAUCCUGCGCAGGUCGUUCGGCCUGCCCAUCGCGCAAAAUUGCUUCACCUCCUCCGACUACCCUGCAUCAGAUCAGAUUGCCUCCUCUCCACACUCUCUGCACUGUCCCUCGCCAAGCUCCACAGCUGAGAAGUUUGCCAUCAGAUUAGUGCAGGAGGACGUGUGACGAUGCAGGGCACUCGCCGAGAAGUUUGCCAUGUGCGAUGUGGCUAGACCGCUAGAGCCAGUCGUCGUAGGAGGCUAGGAUCGUCCCAGCAUUGGCAGUGCAGAUGCCAACAAGGUUUCAGCCCAAGGGAACCAGAGGAGACUUGCUGAGUUCGUACAGAUCAGAUCACCUUUACAUGCCUUCAACAUAAAUGUUUAAUGUUGGAUGCAGAUAUUCAGUUAUACUCGCACAACAUCUAUCAUAUGCUUAAUGCUAUCAGUGAGCCAGCUUCCAAUUGUGAAAUCUGGGACUCUGGAGUGAAUAGCGAUGACCGGUGAUGAUGGGUUCCAGAGGGUCACUCAGAGGCCAAUUUGAUAGCGGUAAGCUCGAGCUGCAUAUUUAAUUAGGUCAAGGCUUUUCCCUCCAAAGGAUUCAGAACAGAGAAAUAAUAUUGUAACUUUAAAAUAUUCUUCUAAUGUUUGAUGAAAAGAACAUUGCUCAGUAACAGUAUGUGUGUUUUUCUUGUAAUCAAUUCGAAGAAUAUUUCAGAAAAUUGAACUCUAAGCUGCUAUAGAUGCCAGUCAUUCUAGACUGAUUUGGCUCGUGGAUAUGUGAUGCAUUUUACGGCAAUGAUACCAUGGUAGGAGCGAAAGAAGAAUUACAGAGGUAUGCUGAAAUGGUUUCUCUCUUAAGUUGGAAAUGUGGGAGUAAAUGAAUGAAUGUAGUUUUCAUGCUUUGAGAAUGUCCUAGAUAGCAGGCCAUCUGUAGCUAAUAUAUUAUUUGUCAAUUAUGGAUCUCUAUUGUUUAUAUUCAAAUUUAUUUUGCUGUUAAACAUUAAAUAUUAAUCACUGGAGCUGCUAAAAUGGACUCUGCACUUAUUGCAUCAGCUCCUCAUGUCCCUAUCUACAAACAAUAAUGGAGCUUCAAGGCAUGCUGUAGAAUGCAUCAGACUUGAGUGCUGCUACUUGGAGAGAAUUUGUUCUGUGAUGUAGACUUGUGGAGUGUGAUCUCUAUAUUUGAUUUACGAUCUGAAUUCAUCUGUUAUUUAUUGCUUGUCCAUUCCAACGAUGUGGUUGUGGGGCUUUUAGAAUGGAAAGAUUUGUGGAGUAGAGCUUGCGGACGAGUUGGGUGGUAAGAAAAUUAUCAUGCGAGGAAUUGCAUUUUGAUUUGGCUAUGCUAAACUGAAAUUAGGAGUCCUUAUGUGAGAAGUGAAGAGUUCCUUAUAGGAUUAAAAGCUACUAGCAUAAUAUUGUUGCUUGUUUUGAAGGGAUAAUGAUAUCAACGCUUGCCGCUGGGGAAGGAGUUAAAAAAUUAUUGUAAUGAGUCAUGGCUACAGCAAGCAAGCCUGAUCAAUCUUUAGCCUUGCUGAUCCCUGAUGUAUGUCAUCAAGCAAGCCGUUGGUUCUGAAGUGAAGCUUUUACCUUUUUUCUGUCCUUCUCAGUUCAUUUUCCAGUAUCUAAUGAUAGUUUUUUCUUUUUCACUUGUUAUUUGAAAUUAACUGUAUGAUCAGGCUGGCAAGGUGCGCUCAGGCUGGCACCUUCUUCUCCAUUUCUUAGAAGGAGUGUUGUCUAGUGUCGCUCUUUUUAAGGAUGAAUCAUGCCUAAAUAUCAGGCUAUUGACUAAAAUAACACUAAAAACUUUUAUUUGUUGAGUUCAGCUUUUGCCA